rnacentral:rRNA from 1 species
UACGGGGGGGGCAAGCGUUGUUCGGAAUUACUGGGCGUAAAGGGCUCGUAGGUGGCCAACUAAGUCAGACGUGAAAUCCCUCGGCUUAACUGAGGACGUGCGGAAGAAACUGCAAGGCUCGAGUCCGGGAGAGGGGGUGGAAUUCCCAGUGUAGCGGUGAAAUGCAUAGAUAUGACCCGGAACACCGAUUGCGAAGGCAGCCCGCUAAGCAACUAUUGACGCUGAGGCACGAAAGCGUGGGGGAUCAAACAGG